AGAGUUUGAUCAUGGCUCAGGAUGAACGCUGGCGGCGUGCUUAACACAUGCAAGUCGAACGAACCUUCGGGUUAGUGGCGGACGGGUGAGUAACGCGUGAGAAUCUGCCCUCAGGAGGGGGAUAACGGUUGGAAACGACCGCUAAUACCCCAUAUGCCUACUGGUGAAAUGAAUUUCGCCUGAGGAUGAGCUCGCGUCUGAUUAGCUUGUUGGUGAGGUAAUGGCUCACCAAGGCUUCGAUCAGUAGCUGGUCUGAGAGGAUGAUCAGCCACACUGGGACUGAGACACGGCCCAGACUCCUACGGGAGGCAGCAGUGGGGAAUUUUCCGCAAUGGGCGAAAGCCUGACGGAGCAACGCCGCGUGAGGGACGAAGGCCUCUGGGCUGUAAACCUCUUUUCUCAAGGAAGAAGAUAUGACGGUACUUGAGGAAUAAGCCACGGCUAAUUCCGUGCCAGCAGCCGCGGU
rnacentral:rRNA from 1 species